rnacentral:rRNA from 1 species
UUCCUUUGGGUUUACUAGAAGGUAGGGCCUGCCCACUGAUUUAUUGAAGGGCCGCGGUAUUUUGACCGUGCAAAGGUAGCAUAAUCAUUAGCCUCUUAAUUAGAGGAUUGUAUGAAUGGUUUAACCAGAGCGGGUUUUAUUCUUCCUAAGAAAUUGAAUUUAGAGUGUAAGUGAAAAUACUUAUGUGGGCCCACAAGACGAUAAGACCCUAUAGAUCUUUAUUUAUUGCAGUUGGUUUUAGUUUGGAGGUGGCAAAGUCGGUAGUAGUAAUUUUAGCUGGGGCAGUUAAAGAAUAUUUAGGACUUCUUUUUUUGCGGUUUGUGUUAGUAAAGUGUAUGAUCUUAAGUGAGAGAGUAAGAAAAAGUUACCUUAGGGAUAACAGCGUAAUCAGCUUAGAGAGCCCAUAUCGAUAAGUUGGGUUGCGACCUCGAUGUUGAAUUAGGAAGUCUAGUUAGGGCAGCUUUUAACUAAGAUGGUUUGUUCAACCAUUAAAUUCUUACA